rnacentral:lncRNA from 1 species
GAAGAAUUUGCUAUGCAUACUUAUAGCUUUAUACAUAAAUGUUUGUAUGCAAAUGUAGCAUGAAUUUCUUCUAGCUUUUUGUAGUGUUCUUCAUUAAUAUAAUUUGAUUCCUAAAAUCUUUUCUAUUUAGAAUUACUGGAAAGAGCCUUUGACCUACUGAGAGAAAUACUAAAAUAGAUUCUCCAUGGAGAGAAAAUAGAAGGGAAUACUUUCUAUUCAUACUAAUCCUGAAAAUGUUCCAGGUCACUGACCCACACUGAUAGGUUGUACAUUAAACUCCACCUAUCGUUUCAUGAUACAUUUAAUUUCUGGAUACUAAAUCUUAAAAUGUUCCUGUUAUAACCUAAUACAUUGUUUUUUCAUCUUUCAAGGAGAAUGACGAUACCAUGCAAUUCAAGCUCUUUGCACACACAAAAAAUGGAGAUAUUGGACAAUGAACAUUGCUUAAUAUUUUUGCCAAAUUUUAAAUGCCUAUAUGGAAUUAAUAUGUUUAAUCUCUGCUACUUAUAUUUCCUUGGGAGUAAGAGAAAACAAUGCAUUUUAUUUUUAUGAGCUUGGUAAAUAUCCAGAGAAAAAGUUUAGGUUAGAGACAACACAAAGGUUUAAAACCAAUUUUUUAAAAAUCACUCUAGGUGCAUUAAUCACUGUACAUAUGUACUCUCAAGGUAUUAUGUAGAAACAUUUCAGUCAAAGGUCUAUAACAGACUUAAUUGAAAAGAAUUGUGUAUUUCCAUUUAUUGGGUAUUGUGAUAUGGGGAAAUGAGUAUUUCAAAUCUUUUUAGGACUUUAAUGAGCACAUUUUAAGAGAUUAGUGACGCCUCUUCAACUCACCCAACUUCUCAACCCUGUUCUAAGCGAAUCACAUGAGCACUUGACCUCAGUAAGAUUUUAAGAAGAAAAACAAACUUCAUAAAAUUUAAUCACAUUAGUUGAAAGCUGGAAGGAUGUUUUAAUGCUUCUCCUAAGCUACCAAGUUCCAUUACCUGAAUCCUAUCAACAUAAUCCUUUCUAAGGAAGAAAAGAAUGAACCAAAUGGAAAAGAUUUGUAAUUGAAUUAUCUUCAGUCUCAGAGCCAAUUAGAAACAUUUUUUUAUCAGCACACCUGGAUAUAACCUUGACUGUUUCUAAUUAGUCCAUCAACUCAGAUAAUAAGAAAUGCAGGGACAUUUUUACAGUGUUGUAAAUUGAGGAGAGUUCACACUGUUGAGAGCAUGUGUACUAUCCAUGUAUGAAUAGAUGGGAAGAGAAGAAAGAAGUGCAUUUAUAAUAGGGUGAAGUGAUAUGACAUAAAGUAUUUCCAUUAGUGAGUAAAGAAGGUCAUUUUCUUGCACAGAAAGAAUUAUAAUUCUACUGCUAUCUAUGCACAUCCUUUGUAGAUAUUAUCAGGUUUUAGCAAGUUGUGUUGUUUGAUGAAAAAUUAAUGUGGUUUGUAGUUUGUAUUAAAGUAGAGCUAUCAGCAGAGUAUAGAUUUUUGGCAUGAUUUUCAGUAAAACAGAUGAUAGUAAAACUGGAUAGUGGAGGUGAUGGAAUAUGCCCAUUUCUAACUGACUUCUCAGUAGUAAGGACAUUUUUAAAUGUCAAAGUCCAUUUCAGAAGUGGAAUUGAAUACAGGAGGAAGCAAGCUAAAUUUUUUAUUCUGAUAUUAUUUGUUAAGGAGUGUAACAUACUUAUUAUAAAUGAACACCCUGAGUUCUCCUGAGAAGUGCUGUUAUGACUUAGAUUAAAUGACCAUUACUGAAUGAAUUUUGUUCAAAUGUGGGUUAUGAUUUUUAUUGGAUAGUUUACACAAAUGCUAUGUUUACUGUAACUGGGGUUUAAGAAGUAUUAAGUUACUAUUAUUAUUUAUUUUGGUAAAAAAUAUGUUCAACUUGUUUUUUAUAAUUUUUAAUAAAAGAAAUUUUUUGUUCGGUUUUCUUUUUUUUUGUUUUUUUUUUGUUUUUUUGUUUUAUAUCCAUCAGGGAAUUUCUAGUCUGUCCAAUGAGUAAAUAUUUAUUGAAUACCUAAAGACAGGAUAUAUACCUUAUAAGUCAAGAUUAAAAAAAAUAAGUAAAUAAGACAUAGUCACUGUAAUCAAAUGGCUGUAGCUCUAGACGUAUUUACCUACAUCCCUUAAUGUGAGGAAAAACUACUGGGAGGCAAUAUCUGGAAAAUAAUGGAUGUUUAAAAAUGUUUAUGAAAUUAAAGAUGAAAGUUUAGAACAAUAUGAUUUUCCAAUCUUUAAAUUUUAAGCUAUUUUUAAGAUGCAUCUUGCAUGCUGUUUUUCAAACUCUAGUUACAAGACUUUCUAGUUUAUAAAUUCAUUAUUCCUUUAUUUCAAUUAAGGGAAAGUAAUUACAAUGAAAUAAAAUAUUUCCUUAUACCAAAAUGCCUAUUUGGCAAUUAAAGAUACAAUAUAGGAAUUAAAGUUGGAAAAUCAAUUUUAUAUUUAUCAAUAAAAUGUGCUGCAUUGUCAACUUAAUGGUGAAGAUAAAGAUUCACUUAAGUGAUUGGAAAAAAAGUUUAACUUUCAAAGUUAUAAAGCUGGAAAAAAACAGUUUCAGUGAAAAUAUAGUGCAAUUUCCAGUUGUAAUUUAGAAGAGUUAUUUCAGGCAUAAGAAUUUCACCAUUUAUUACUUUUUACUUUAUGUAAAUUAAAUGAAUUACAUUGUUACAGCUAGAAUAAGGAAUUAAUAACCUUACAACUCAGUACCUACUUUUAAUAACACAGCUUUUGGUAUCAUUAGUAACUGUAUUUAUGGUGGUAGGGAGCUAUCAUUUUUACCAGUUUUCUGUACCAGUUGAGUAUUCUCUUUAGCAAUUUCCUAUUAUGUUUGUAUAUACUAACUGGUUAAGGGUGAGAAUAGUAGCAGGUAAUUCCCAGUUCCUCCUGUGAAUUUGCACUUGAGAGACUGUAAUUCUAGGUCCUGGUUCUUCUGCUAGUAGUGACUCACAGUCAUUUGAGGAGAAAAUAUACCCUUACUGGGCCAAAUUCCUUUUAGCGAGAUGUAGGUCAUGUACUAUGUCCUGAUAUCAUUCCUGCGUGCACAAUACCAUAUAUGUCAGUUAUGAAAUAUGACUUCAUACUUUGGCCCUGGUGAGAAGGAAAAAUUAUGCACACAUGUAAAACUGAAAUGCUCCUUUCCAACCUAUAGCCAAGAGAGUAAUUAUUUGGGGAUGGAAAAAAAAAAAAAUGUGAGGAGUUAAAUUUAGGUUAAAUAUUAUACUAAGCUUAUAAAUUAAAAAAGGAAGGUAAGUUUGCAAUUCAUUGUUGUCUGAAAUGGCAGCAAAUGUAAAUACAAUUGUUAAAAAACAUUUUAUCCUAAUAGUUUACUAGGAUGUUAUGCAUUUAUACUUAAGCUAAUUAUCUCAAACUGAAAGGAAAAAAUGUCAAAAGUAGCUAGUAAAAAUUAUUAUUUUUUUUGCUAAGAAUUAAACAGGUGUUAUUUUGGCAAACAUUUGUCUUUGAGAAUGGAGUGGCUAAAAUACUAAUUAGCCAUUCUUUCCAAAACAUAUUUCCUGGCAUUUAUUUUGAACUUUCAUUCACAAAACCCUCUCCCAGACAUUCUUAGUAUCCACGUUUAAAUUUUUAUUUACUUCUGAACAUUUGAACAUCAACAAAACACACAUUUUUUUUUCUAGUUAUCCAAAAAGAUAGUUGUGAUGGAUAUUUUAAAACUAUUAACUAUACAUUUGUAUUUGUUGCUGAUGUCUUAAUGUCCCAAAUUAUUAUAAGUUAUUACAAGAAAACCUCAGGAAAAUAAUAAUCUAGGAAAAAACAUAUUUUCUAACCAGUGGAACAUCAAUAUGCCACUUUCAUUUUCUCUCCUGACAAACUGCAGGGAGGUAAAGAAGGCUUUAUUGCAGUCAGCUCUUACCUUGAGGUUAGAUGCCAUCUAUCUGCAACUAAGUUAUUAAAAAAAAAUUCUUACCAAGAAAAAAAAAAGAUUACUAAUAUUGUCUCAUGUUUCAUAAUUUUCCAUGUUUGAUCAUGGCUUUAAUUUUAUAAUCCUCUUGUUUUCCUAUUGUUCCUAUUAAAGAUGAGUUUUAACAUUAUUGGUGUCCAAAACAAGCAAAAGAAAGACAUAGUAUCAUAGUGCAGGAGGUGACAAAAACAGCAAUGGUUUCAUAUUUGUGUAGUUCCUUGGAAGUGACAAAAUGUGAUAAAACAAUAAAUAGAAAAAUGAAAGUCUAGAUUAUAAGGCUAAAUUGACUAGUUCUUUAUUACUGCUAAUGCUAUUUUACAAACAGUGAAGAUAGGCAAUAGAGAGAUCUGGUAUUUUAAGAGUGAAUUGUGAUGAUCAAACAGUAUAAGCUACAUAAUCUAUUUCACAUCUCCUAGAAAAGCUUGUUGCUUUGGGUUAAUCCUUUCCAUUCAGAAACAACUGUUGGAACGUAAAUUUUAGACAGUAGAAGUGUUCCUUGAAACUGAUAGUCUAUUUAUUAUAAUCCCUCAAAUCAUUCUGGGAAUACUUAAUCUUGUGGUACAUCCUAAAUUUCACUUAUUUAAAGUUUAACUUUGUAAACAAGGCAACUUGAAUGUCUGUAUGGAGGGUAUUAUGAUCCAUUUUUCUCUAACUUGCAGAUGUCAGAGAAUAGUACUUGGAUUUUACGUAAAUCUAUUUUAUUUUUUCAAAAUGCAAGCUCUGAUUUCAGAUUUGGUCAGAAAAGAGAUACACAUAAAUCUAUAUGACCAUAAGAGAUAAGUAGAUCAUAAAAAGUCCACACACAUCAUAACCCUUAACAUCUACCACAGAGAUAAGGACAGUUACAGAUUAUUAUGGCAUGGAUAUCUUGAUAAUCUAUUGUGAAUCUAUGAUAAAUUUCAAACUGUAACAAAUACAAUGACUCAUUUUUUAAAAGAAACAAACCACUGAAUGCCUAAAUUUACCCUGAGAUUUGUGUCACGAAGAACCUGAAUAGUUCAAAGUCAAACAUUAUGUGACAUGCUUUAGAUUGCUCUUAUGAAAGGCACUAUAGAAAUGUCACCCUAUUAUAACCUACUGUAUUUAAGAAUUAACUGCAGCAGAACAGCUACAGGAGAUGAAUAUAUACUGAUGUGAUCGUCCCCCUCUAUUACUCAUCAGCAGUUAAUGCAAAGCACGCUUUAGAAAAGCAUCUCCAAGACAAAGAAAUAAACACAUUGUUAAAAGGCGUGCAUUUAAUAUCAGGAUUUCUUUUUAUUAAUUCUAACAGACCCUUAUACUAUAGUAUUUUCUCUUAAAUAAUAAGAGCCUUUCAUUUAAAUGAUGCAAUCAGUAUGCCACAAGCGGGUUCUUUCUGUAGUGGGAGGAGUUAGCAGCUCCAACAUUCAAUUGACCUGUUUCCAAAUAAUCUGCAGGAAAAAAAUGAAGAUUAAGUCCUCUAACAAGAGCAGUUUUCACAGCCUUUCGUACAAAGAGAAGGAUUCGGUAAAAAGAUGAGAGGGCAAGCCGCAUUGUGCUGGCCCACUUAAAUCUUAUUUCCAAUUCACUAAAUGUGUUAUUUGACUUGGCAAGUGAGCUAGUAUGUGUAUUAGAUCAGCAGGGAGCCUAAUCAAGGAGAUGCCAAGUUUACUGCAGCCCCUCUGAGCUGCAUUAGCCUCAACUAGUGACCUUAAGCAAAGUGGGUGGUUGAACCCAAAAGAGAAUAGCAUUAACUUUUGCUUGAAGUUCAGCCUGAUUUGAAGUCUCCUUUUGUGCCUUAUUCCAAAAAAGAGAGAGAGAGAAAGCAGAAAGCAUUUAACAGAAUAGAAUCUAGUCUGCUCAGCACCAUCUUCACACGCAAGGCUUCAUAGAGGCUUGCCUCCAUUAAUGCUGACACAUGCAAAAGAAAUGAAAAGCAUUAACUCAGCUGAGGCACUUGAUUUUGCAGCUGCAGAACAAUUCGCUUUGUAACUCAGUAACUCAGAUGGGGCUUUUCCACCCAGAUAAACUGCUAAUUUGCUAAUUGAGACAAAAAGUAUUUUCAAAUAUUAAAUAAACUGCAAAUAAAGCAAAAAAAGACAUAAAUUACUAGAACAUGAAAGACACAUAGUUUAGUUUGAACAUUGCCAAGUAGAAAAGUAUUAAUAGACUUAUAUCCAAAGACACUUUUUACCACAUACCCAAUAUUGAGUGUCCAUUCUAGUUUCAUAUAUAGGAGUGAACACUUCAAUUUUUUUUGUACCAAGUAAAGGGCCAGGCUUUGU